rnacentral:misc_RNA from 1 species
UCUCCGUUGGUGAACCAGCGGAGGGAUCAUUACCGAGUUUACAACUCCCAAACCCAAUGUGAACGUUACCAAACUGUUGCCUCGGCGGGGUCACGCCCCGGGUGCGUCGCAGCCCCGGAACCAGGCGCCCGCCGGAGGAACCAACCAAACUCUUUCUGUAGUCCCCUCGCGGACGUUAUUUCUUACAGCUCUGAGCAAAAAUUCAAAAUGAAUCAAAACUUUCAACAACGGAUCUCUUGGUCCUG